CUACUCCCCACUUUUUCUUCUUCUCCAGGUGGUUUUGGUUUUCUCAUUGCAGUUGCUUGAAUGGCUCCUUCAUCUGGAGGUUUACUUCAUGUGGAUACAAAGUCUAAUGGCAUGAGUGGAGUCAGAAAAAGUAACAUCUAAACAGCUGACCAAACGAGCUCCUUUUCGCUUGCAAUUUUGAGGAAAAGUUCUACUCGACACGAGGAACAUUCCUACGAUGACUGAUUUCGUUUUCAACGGUCGGAUUGUUAGAGCUGCGAUAACAUAGUGGGCUUGCAAGGAGGGGCGUUGGGCCUAACAACCCACCAGAAUUUUGGUCAACUGGCAGUUGACUGGUUCGUCUAAAACUGGACGAUUUGACUAUCGGUUCAAGCGGUUCAAAGCUGGUCCAACCUUGAAUGGUCCAAUUCGCCGGAGAGGCUGUUGGUUAGUGGUCAGAUUGACCGGUUCAAUCUGGUUUUCAAAACAAUGCUUUUAUCUCACUUCAACUUUUUUAGGUGAUUCAAUAGAUCUAUACUAGAAUGUAUGAUUAAUAACCUCCUUUCACUUUUAAUACUAUAAUUAUAAGCUUAGUUGUGUUUCUGUA